CUACGGAGGGUGCAAGCGUUGUUCGGAAUUAUUGGGCGUAAAGCGCGUGUGGGCGGUCUGUUAAGUCUGGUGUGAAAGCCCUGGGCUCAACCCAGGAAGUGCAUUGGAUACUGGCAGACUUGAGUAUGGGAGAGGAAAGCGGAAUUCCGAGUGUAGGAGUGAAAUCCGUAGAUAUUCGGAGGAACACCAGUGGCGAAGGCGGCUUUCUGGACCAAUACUGACGCUGAGACGCGAAAGCGUGGGGAGCAAACAGGAUUAGAAACCCUAGUAGUCC
rnacentral:rRNA from 1 species